rnacentral:rRNA from 1 species
GCAAGCCUGACGGAGCAACGCCGCGUGAGGGAUGAAGGCCUCUGGGCUGUAAACCUCUUUUCUCAAGGAAGAAGAUCUGACGGUACUGGAGGAAUCAGCCACGGCUAUUUCCGUG